rnacentral:rRNA from 1 species
UACGAAGGGGGCUAGCGUUGCUCGGAAUUACUGGGCGUAAAGCGCACGUAGGCGGAUUGUUAAGUCGGGGUGAAAUCCUGGAGCUCAACUCCAGAACUGCCUUCGAUACUGGCGAUCUCGAGUUCGGGAGAGGUGAGUGGAACUGCGAGUGUAGAGGUGAAAUUCGUAGAUAUUCGCAAGAACACCAGUGGCGAAGGCGGCUCACUGGCCCGAUACUGACGCUGGAGGUGCGAAAGCGUGGGGAGCAAACAGG